CAUCUACCUCUUUUGGAGGAGCCGGUGGCCGCCAACAGCGGUGUGGGUGGUCACGACCCAGCACUUAUCUUGUCCUUACUGAUUUGUUUUGAUUGCCUUUGUUGAUCUCAUUUCUUUUAACGUGUGUGUGUGUGUAAGUUAACUUGCUAAUGACUCAGCGAUGUGAUUUGCAAAAACUUGAAUCCACUUGAUUACAACUUUGAGAGUCGUAACGCUGCCGCCACUUCACCAGCUGUCAUGACGUGGAGAGGUUCUCCCAGCCGGCUGCUGAAUCUCCCCACGGACAUCGAUCGCCAGUGACAUACAGCUGAGGUCCGGAGACACGACACAAAAAGCAUGAUCGAGAUGAGAAAAGGAGGAAGAGCCGGACAACAGGCGAAAAAAAUCUUCCACUUCCGUAAAUCCUAAAAAGAAUAACUGAUAGUUGGAAGAAGCGGGUUGCUAAAGAAUCAGUGAAACAGUAUUUUAAAAGAUGUUCGCUGAUUUGAACUGCCGGUGAGAGGGACAAACGUUCUCCAGUGGAAGGUAGUCAAACUGGUUCAGAGCCACCAGCACGUAGCCCGUCACCUCUCUGAUUGACUGCAAAGACGGUAUAAGGCUGCAAUUGGUACUUGUAUGCAACAUGGGUAUGAAGUGUGUGCUGACAUUUUUACAGAAGAUACAUUUACAGAAUGGAAAUCAAAUGUUUGUUUGGAAAAAAAAUAAAAAUAGGUGAUUGUCA